ACGCGUGAGGAACCUGCCCUCAAAGAGGGGGAACAACGAGUUGGAAACGACUAGCUAAUACCGCAUAAGCCCACGGCCUCGGGCAUCGAGCAGAGGGAAAAGGAGCAAUCCGCUUUGAGAUGGCCUCGCGUCCGAUUAGCUAGUUGGUGAGGUAAUGGCCCACCAAGGCGACGAUCGGUAGCCGGACUGAGAGGUUGAACGGCCACAUUGGGACUGAGACACGGCCCAGACUCCUACGGGAGGCAGCAUG
rnacentral:rRNA from 1 species